ACGGUUGUUUUAGCGGUAUUAAAAUGGGCAUUACAGCGAAAUAUAAUUAUUACUUGUGUUUUGAAAAGUUUUCACACCGUCGCCACGGGAGAAAAUAACACGACCUCGAAGACUACCGCAGAACUUUAAAUAGAGAUACAGCGUAUGCGUUCCGUCCAUAUUUUGUUUGUUUAUCAGCUAUGAAAUGUAUAGUUACGGACUCAGAAGUGGCUUUAAUACUGUGUUGGUAGCGCUCUGAUGGGCGUGUGUCGGAUCGUUAAAAUGUUGACAAAAUCGCAUUAACUUAUCAUGCGAAAUUCAUUAUGAUUUAAUU